rnacentral:rRNA from 1 species
AGCUCCAAUAGCGUAUAUUAAAGUUGUUGCGGUUAAAAAGCUCGUAGUUGGAUCUCGGCGGGCAGGGGGUGGUUCGCUCUUCAGCGCUACUGCCCCGCUUUGCCCGUGUGAUUGGCGGAGGUUUCGGGGUGCUCUUCGUUGAGUGACUCGGAGCGCCGUCAGGUUUACUUUGAAAAAAUUAGAGUGCUCAAAGCAGGCUUUUCACGCUUGAAUAUUCGUGCAUGGAAUAAUGGAAUAGGAACUCGUUUCUAUUUUGUUGGUUUUCGGAAAUCGAGUUAAUGAUUAACAGGGACAAUUGGGGGCAUUAGUAUUCAGACGACAGAGGUGAAAUUCUUGGACCGUCUGAAGACUGACUACUGCGAAAGCAUUUGCCAAGAGUGUUU